GUUAUAGAGCAGCACAUGUACUAAAUUGGAAGAAUACAGAGAAGAUUGGCAGCGGUGCUGUGCAUACAUAACAUGCAAAUUCGUGAUGUGUUUCACACUAAA
rnacentral:snRNA from 1 species